AUUGAACGCUGGCGGCAGGCCUUACACAUGCAAGUCGAACGGUAACAGGUCUUCGGAUGCUGACGAGUGGCGAACGGGUGAGUAAUACAUCGGAACGUGCCUAGUAGUGGGGGAUAACUACUCGAAAGAGUGGCUAAUACCGCAUGAGAUCUACGGAUGAAAGCAGGGGAUCGCAAGACCUUGUGCUACUAGAGCGGCCGAUGGCAGAUUAGGUAGUUGGUGGGAUAAAAGCUUACCAAGCCGACGAUCUGUAGCUGGUCUGAGAGGACGAUCAGCCACACUGGGACUGAGACACGGGCCAGACCCCGACGGGGGGCAGCAGUGGGGAAUUUUGGACAAUGGGCGCAAGCCUGAUCCAGCAAUGCCGCGUGCAGGAUGAAGGCCUUCGGGUUGUAAACUGCUUUUGUACGGAACGAAAAGCCCCGGGUUAAUACCCUGGGGUCAUGACGGUACCGUAAGAAUAAGCACCGGCUAACUACGUGCCAGCCGCCGCCGUAA
rnacentral:rRNA from 1 species